UGUGUGUGUGUGUGUGUGAGAUACUCAUCUACUCACCUAACGUGUCUCCUGUCAGGUGUGGAUCCAGAUCCCACGUGGGAGCACAUCCUGUUCACCGCCUGCCACAACAAGCACCUCAGCCCCCCCCAGAAGAGACUCCUCUCAUGGGCCGACGACUGGAGGGCCAUCCUGAACAGCAAGAGGCAGUGAGGAACUCCAUUACCCAGAAUCCCCAGUGGUUUACUUCCUCGUUACAGUGACAGAUCUGGGGACGAAAUCAUCGCUGAGGUUCGAGGGAACGCUGUCUCGCACAAUUAAC